ensembl:lncRNA
CGAGAGACCCGCGCCGCAGUGACGAAAAACACCGAGUCAGAGCUCCGGCAGGGCCGACAGCACCGAGGAGGCCGUGGAUGCUCUUCUGAGGCCGCUGCGGAGCUGACGGUGCCCGGGGCCCGGUGCAGCGGAGGGGACCGGCGCAGGGGUCAGAGGAGUGAGAUAUGUAAAGAAGACCCAGCCGGCGCGAUUCCAGGUGGGAGUCCAGAUGUUGGGCCCGUGAGCCAGGUACUUAACCUACAUGCCUGUGUGUGUGUCUGCCACACUGGGACAUGGAGUCUAACGCUGUGGGACGUGGUAACCUAGAAGAAGCAGCGUGGUGAUGGGGGGGUUACAGAGAGGAGCGGCGACAGGAGGAGUGCUUUUACAAUCAAAGAGCCUUAUUGUCAAACUGUGGCUCUGGAUUUACAUAUAAAGGAAUAUGUUUGAAUGUGUUAUACUUAAAUGGAUAUCGCCUGCGGUCUGUAUCUGGUACCCGUGACUUCCCUCAGCUCCACCUGAAGCCCCCCCUCUGUGAGCGACGACAUUUCAAACCCCCGAAUGACUGACGGGUGAGCCGCGCCUGGUCCGGUCCGGCUGGUCGUCACGAGCAGUGAGACCAAAACUAAGCUCCUCACGCACAUUAGUGACGUGCCUCCGACCAGAGACGCAGACUGUCCUCAGCCAGGAGAACCUGAAGAUCCCCGCCGCAAGUAAUGGAAGAGCGGAGCGUGAAUCAUGAAUCCAUCAGAGUAAACGGAGCGAUGGAU